AGGGUUUGAUCAUGGCUCAGAACGUACGCUGGCGGCACGCCUAACACAUGCAAGUCGAACGAAGUAGCAAUACUUAGUGGCAGACGGGUGAGUAACAUGUAGGUAUCUGCCCUUUGGCCUGGAAUAACACGAGGAAACUUGUGCUAAUACCGGAUAAGUCUUUACGGAGAAAGCUUUAUGCACCAUUGGAUGAGCCUGCAAUUGAUUAGUUUGUUGGUGGGGUAAUGGCCUACCAAGACUGUGAUCAAUAGCUGAUUUGAGAGGAUGAUCAGCCACAUUGGGACUGAGACACGGCCCAAACUCCUACGGGAGGCAGCAGUGGGGAAUCUUGCACAAUGGAGGAAACUCUGAUGCAGCGAUGCCGCGUGAGUGAAGAAGGCCCUUGGGUUGUAAAGCUCUUUCGUCGGGGAAGAAAAUGACUGUACCCGAAUAAGAAGGUCCGGCUAACUUCGUGCCAGCAGCCGCGGUAAUACGAAGGGACCUAGCGUAGUUCGGAAUUACUGGGCUUAAAGAGUUCGUAGGUGGUUGAAAAAGUUAGUGGUGAAAUCCCAGAGCUUAACUCUGGAACUGCCAUUAAAACUUUUCAGCUAGAGUAUGAUAGAGGAAAGCAGAAUUUCUAGUGUAGAGGUGAAAUUCGUAGAUAUUAGAAAGAAUACCAAUUGCGAAGGCAGCUUUCUGGAUCAUUACUGACACUGAGGAACGAAAGCAUGGGUAGCGAAGAGGAUUAGAUACCCUCGUAGUCCAUGCCGUAAACGAUGUGUGUUAGACGUUGGAAAUUUAUUUUCAGUGUCGCAGGGAAACCGAUAAACACACCGCCUGGGGAGUACGACCGCAAGGUUAAAACUCAAAUGAAUUGACGGGGACCCGCACAAGUAGUGGAGCAUGUGGUUUAAUUCGAAGAUACGCGCAGAACCUUACCAACACUUGACAUGUUCGUCGCGACUCUAAGAGAUUAGAGUUUUCGGUUCGGCCGGACGAAACACAGGUGCUGCAUGGCUGUCGUCAGCUCGUGUCGUGAGAUGUUGGGUUAAGUCCCGCAACGAGCGCAACCCUCACUUUUAGUUGCCAUCAUUAAGUUGGGCACUCUGAAAGAACUGCCAGUGAUAAGCUGGAGGAAGGUGGGGAUGACGUCAAGUCCUCAUGGCCCUUACGUGUUGGGCUACACACGUGCUACAAUGGUAUCUACAACAGGAAGCAAGACUGCGAAGUUAAGCAAAUCCCUAAAAGAUACCUCAGUUCGGAUUGCACUCUGCAACUCGAGUGCAUGAAGCUGGAAUUACUAGUAAUCGUGGAUCAGCGUGCCACGGUGAAUGCGUUCCCGGGUCUUGUACACACCGCCCGUCACACCAUGGGAGUUGGUUCUACCUUAAGGCAAGGUUUCAAACCCUUGACCACGGUAUAGUCAGCGACUGGGGUGAAGUCAUAACAAGGUAACCGUA
rnacentral:rRNA from 1 species